GACGAACGCUGGCGGCGUGCUUAACACAUGCAAGUCGAACGGAAAGGCCCUGCUUUUGUGGGGUGCUCGAGUGGCGAACGGGUGAGUAACACGUGAGUAACCUGCCCUUGACUUUGGGAUAACUUCAGGAAACUGGGGCUAAUACCGGAUAGGGGCUCCUGCUGCAUGGUGGGGGUUGGAAAGUUUCGGCGGUUGGGGAUGGACUCGCGGCUUAUCAGCUUGUUGGUGGGGUAGUGGCUUACCAAGGCUUUGACGGGUAGCCGGCCUGAGUGGGUGACCGGCCACAUUGGGACUGAGAUACGGAGCAGACUGCUACGGGAGGCAGCAGUGGGGAAUAUUGCACAAUGGGCGGAAGCCUGAUGCAGAAACGCCGCGUGCGGGAUGACGGCCUUCGGGUUGUAAACCGCUUUCGCCUGUGACGAAGCGUGAGUGACGGUAAUGGGUAAAGAAGCACCGGCUAACUACGUG
rnacentral:rRNA from 1 species